rnacentral:tRNA from 1 species
AUUCUUGUAAACCGAAUGUCGGGGGUUAAAAUCCCCCCUUAUGC